rnacentral:rRNA from 1 species
CCUACGGGUGGCAGCAGUGAGGAAUAUUGGUCAAUGGACGCAAGUCUGAACCAGCCAUGCCGCGUGCAGGAAGACGGCUCUAUGAGUUGUAAACUGCUUUUGUACGAGGGUAAACGCAGAUACGCGUAUCUGUCUGUAAGUAUCGUACGAAUAAGGAUCGGCUAACUCCGUGCCAGCAGCCGCGGUAAUACGGAGGAUUCAAGCGUUAUCCGGAUUUAUUGGGUUUAAAGGGUGCGUAGGCGGUCGGAUAAGGUAGAGGUGAAAUCCCGGGGCUUAACUUCGGACUUGCCUUUGAUACUGUUCGGCUAGAGAGUAGUUGCGGCAGGCGGAAUGUAUGGUGUAGCGGUGAAAUGCUUAGAGAUC